rnacentral:rRNA from 1 species
AGCGAACGCUGGCGGCAGGCCUAAUACAUGCAAGUCGAACGCACCUUCGGGUGAGUGGCGGACGGGUGAGUAACGCGUGGGAACGUGCCCUUUGGUUCGGAACAACACAGGGAAACUUGUGCUAAUACCGAAUGUGCCCUUCGGGGGAAAGGAUUUAUCGCCAUUGGAGCGGCCCGCGUUGGAUUAGGUAGUUGGUGAGGUAAAGGCUCACCAAGCCUACGAUCCAUAGCUGGUCUGAGAGGAUGAUCAGCCACACUGGGACUGAGACACGGCCCAGACUCCUACGGGAGGCAGCAGUAGGGAAUCUUGCGCAAUGGGCGAAAGCCUGACGCAGCCAUGCCGCGUGAAUGAUGAAGGUCUUAGAUUGUAAAUUCUUUCACCGGGAAGAUAAUGACGGUACCCGGAGAAGAA